rnacentral:misc_RNA from 1 species
AAGGAAUAUACGGAGGCUACACAUACUUGUUGAAACAAUGUUCAGUUUUGAGGGGCUUACCUCUCUAAACUUGUUCUUUGAAAACUAGAUAUUAUCAAUUAUUUUCCUUUAAUUAUUAAGAUAAUUAAACCGAGAAACAACUGCGUAUUUUUGAGUUUUUUAAUUAGUUUAUCGCUAAUACUCAAUUAAUUUGACGAUCACGAAGUGACCGUUAGGUUAAGUUAUGAAGGGCGCAUGGUGGAUGCCUUGGUACUAGGAGCCGAUGAAGGACGGGACUAACACCGAUAUGCUUCGGGGAGCUGUACGUAAGCUUUGAUCCGGAGAUUUCCGAAUGGGGGAACCC